rnacentral:rRNA from 1 species
AUUGAACGCUGGCGGCAGGCCUAACACAUGCAAGUCGAGCGAGCGGCGGACGGGUGAGUAAUGUAUGGGGACUGCCCGAUCGAGGGGGAUAACUACUGGAAACGGUAGCUAAUACCGCAUAAUAUCGGUUAACCCAUAUGGGAUUAGCUAGUAGGUGAGGUAAUGGCUCACCUAGGCGACGAUCCCUAGCUGGUCUGAGAGGAUUAUCAGGACAACAGGAACUGAGACACGUCCCAGGUUCCUGCGGAUGCAGCAGUGGGGAAUAUUGCACAAUGGGGGCAAGCAUGAUGCAGCGAUGCGGGGUGUAUGAAGAAGGCCUUAGGGUUGUAAAUUACUUUCAGUCGGGAGGCGUUACCGACAGAGGAAGCACCGGCUAACUCCGUGCCAGCAGCCGCGGUAAUA